rnacentral:pre_miRNA from 1 species
ACGCCUCGUCUGCGUCACGCCGAGCCCGACGCGCAAUGCUGGCCGCCGCUGUGCGCGCUUUGUUCGUUCGGCUCGCGUUACGCAGGCGGGGGGC